GCCCGAAGGGCAGGUCUCGGUGAGCGGAACCCUCGCGCAUGCUUGGCUUCUCUGAAAUCAGCUCCAUCUCUGUGGUCCGGCUGCUCACAACAAAGGCCCAGGUUAUUUUUAGUUCUUAAGCUCCUGAGGAAGCUCCCGGAGACUCGGGCUAGUUGGGCCACUUCUGCCCGGCUGCAGUAUUUGUGCUGUCCCUCAGCAGGAGUGCUCCUCUCCAGGCUAAUUGCUCUUGGCCAGUGGACCCAGGGCAGCCUGGCAUGAAACCAAGCAGUGUGGGUCUCCCCCACGCUUCUGCAGAGUGACCUGUGGCAAGCGAUGGGGGUCACUCUCCUGCAGGGGCCUGUGGCCUCAGAGUGACUCACACACAUACAUAAUGGUCUCAUUUAAAGGGCCCCUGUCCGAAUGGAAUUUUCAUCUUCCUCAUAAGUAAUUUCCUUCCGCCUGCUGGUCGGUGAGCUCGUCUGAAUCCUGAAGGCCCAGGGAGGGAUAGGGAGGGUGACAUUCCAUCAGAGGGGCACAUUUUCUCUCCUGACUACUCCAGCUCUCUCUCUUCCCACAAAACUCAAAGCAGGCUGUCUCCAAAGGCUAAUAAUUGGUUUUGAGAGUCAUUUAAAUUUAAAUUUAGAGAAAAAAAAUUCCCCAAAUGUUCCUAAAUGCCACAAUAGCUUAAAAACUUAAAAAGCAAGUCUGAAACCCCAAAUUAUGGCUCUACAACUUGACACGUCCUCUUCGGAGUAUGUGUAAAUUUGUUUUCCACAGAAGUGCAGGCGAUAGGGCACCCCUGUUCUCUCUCAGCCCCACGUCUGCUUUGCCCACACAAGCUGAGCCUGAGCUGGGUCUCCCAGGCCAAGGCAGGGCACUGGAACUUGCCUGCAGUGGUGAGGGUCAGGGGUCUGUAGUGACAUUAGGAUGGCCCUGGAAUUUCCCUCUCUGCUUCAUUACUCCCUGCAGAAUGGGGCCAACCCAUUCUUCAUCUUUGGAGGCCUCAGUUUCCCCAUCUGGAAAGCAGGGAUAGCAAGCCAACUUGUGGGCUGGCACUGUCAGGGUACUGCAAGCAGACAAAAGUCUCCAUGGUCACAUUUAUCACCUCUGUGUUGAAAAGAGGACAGGGUUGUUAAACGUUAAAUUGGUUUCUUUCUUUUUUUUUUUUUUUUGAACCCCAGAGAAUGAGCUAGAAUCAUUCUCUGAGCUAGAAUCACAAGAUGCCUGUGAAGGAUCAGAGUUUUUGUGUUGCCUCUGCCAUGGAGUAGCUAUGUGACACUGGGCAAGUCACCUAACCUCCCUGAACCUCAAUUUGCCCACCUGGAAAAUGGAGAUAGUAACACUUGCCCUGACUAUUCCAGAGCGAGAUUGAGAGUUUUGCUACAUAAACAAGCACUGCAGAGCCAUCCUUGUCUGGGAAGAACGCCAGAUAUUUUCCAUGUCCACCUUCUUGUGUGCAUUAGCCAAUGUUAGAUGUCUUCUUCAUAUCUCCCUUGUGACCAAAGGGAGUUUAUAUUGCCAGGGCCGGGCUGCCCAUGGUCAGGGUCCUGGCAAAAGCUGUGACCAAGGAAAUCAUGACUUGCAUGGGCUGUGGGGUGGAGGUGAGGGAUGUACAUGGGGUUGGGGACUUUAAAAUGAAGGUGCUCAGGAUACUCCCUUCUAUAAGAUGAAUGCAGUUGAGAAUGGAAAGGUGACUUUUAGAGAGGGCUAUGAUUCGUUUCAGUUCAUGGGUAAUGCUCACUUUCUGACCAACACUGCCACUUUCUAGCUGACUGACCUUGAGCCAAUGACUUCACCUCUCUGAGCCUCAUUUCACACGUCUGUAAGGUGGGGAAACAUGGCCUAUCCAGCAUGGUCUUUGCAGUUAUUCGAGGUGACGUUGGUAAAGAUCCUGGCACGGGUCUGGCACGAUGAUAGUCCCUACUCCAUGGUAGCUACUGUCAUUUUCUGCAGAGGUCACCAAAUGGGGACAAUGAUGGGGUUGUCUCCCGGCUCAAAUGCUGGGAACAGCCAGGAGACCUUUGCUGGACUUUACUGGGAGACCUCUGUAUUGUGGCUCCAGCAAACCAGAGAGGUGAGGCGCCGGAUUCAACCCGGAAGUGGAAAUCCUGUUCCCUGCAGGCAUUUUUGAAACCCUGCUUUUGGGACCUGUAGCAAAUCCAGCACAGGCAACAUUAUGUGGAAAUAGAAACAGGGCUCCUGCUAGGAGAUUGACAUUCUGGCUUUCCUUCAGAACCCCUCACUGACUCAUUGCCCCUGAAGCAGGAGCCAGCAGGUCCCAAAGCUCCCCUGCUCCUGUCCUUGCCCCAGGGCAAGGUAGGAAGCCCAGGCAGGCUGAGCCCAGCCAACUGGAACCAGGGAAGAGCUCGUGGGUGGGUGGAAGGGAGGGAAGGAGGCCAGAUUCCUCCAGAGCUGGGGAAGAUAACAGGUUUUGAAGUUGGGGGAGGGUUUGGGUUUCACAGUGAUGGUUUCAUGAUACCCUGGAGGGUUACACACUCAUGGUGCAUUUUUGUCUUCGUGCUUUGAAUACAGCCCGCUUCCUUUCAACACUCCGCUUAAAAGUUUUGAUGUUUUAAGGAAGAAAAAUGAGAUGAUUGUUAUUACUUUUCCUUUGGGAGCAAGUGGAGGAGACCUGCGCUCUUUUGUGCCGCUGAAGAAAGGUUGCUGGCAACCUCAGGCCUCAGGGCUCAAAAAGAGGGACUUAUAGUCUCCUCUUUGGGUCUGUGUGUGAGGAGGUGGGGGGGCGUUGUGCUGCCCCAUGGCCCAGGGCGGGCCCUGAGGACCACAUCCCUGGCCCCCAGGCUGGUUUUUAGCCUGUUAUGGAAGUGCUGGGACAGGAGCAGGCCCUUCUUUUCUCACUCCCUGGCUGCCCCUCCUGGCCCCUCUUCAGGGGGUCCCAAUGGAGAAGUUGGCCCUGGCCAGAGCCACGCUCACACUCCCAUGGAAGAUGCCGCAUGUCCCAGGCCUGGCUCCUUGUAGCAGUGGUGACUUGGUGUCCCUUUUAGCAGGCUCCCAUUCCUAGGGAGGAAGAGAGACAGGGGUGCCUCGGGAAGGGAGAGUGGGAGGGCAUUUGGGAGGGGCAAGGAUCUCUGGUGGAACAAGGCAGAGAGCUGGAUGUCCUCAGGCAGAAAUCCUGGAGCUAGGGAGCUGGAGGGCAGCAGGUGGGAGUGAACAGUGAUUGAAACUCUGUUUUUUUUUUUUUUUUCUCCUGAGGCUUGUGAUCCUGGGCAGCAGAUUACUAUUAUUAUUAUUUUUUAAAAAGGCCAAACCUCUGCCCAGUUCUGAACUCUAAUUCAGCUCCCUCUUUUUUGAGGCCCCUUGUUGGUUGUGUGGGGUUUCAGGGAUGCUUCUGAGGGCAAAGCAGGCCCCUCACCCAGCUGGAGAGAGAAGGCAGUGAGGGAGGGCUGGAUCAUGCCUGCAGCCUUGGGGAGUGAAGCAUUUCCAGGCACUGCUACCAGAGGGGUCAGGCCUCCAGGCCCCUGUCCCCCAAGCCCAGGACACCAGUAGCUGGGAAGGGAAGCGGAGGCCUGGCCAGUCCUGCUCCUCUGCCCCCUGCAAAGUGGACAGAGCUCCUCCUCUCCCCGCUGUGUGUUACCUUUUUUGCAAUCUUACUCCCAUGCCCAAAGCAUGCUUUUGGAUUCUAGGUGAAAGGGAAGGAUAGUGGUGGUGGGGAACAGAUGUUUUAAUUUGCCUCAGGCCUACGAGUCUCCCUACCUGAGGCCCAGCUUGCUGUAGAGUCUAACUGGUCCGUGGCCAGAAGGUGGGCUCCAUAGCUGUCUGGGGGUUGGGGCUCCCGCCCCCAUUUCUGAGCAUUCCUAAGGUUUGGGAGUCUGCUUAUGAUUCUCUGCCAGAGGCCACAGCCACCAGCCCUGAGUGUGGAACAACAGGACAGAGGGGUUAGUUCAGUGCCUUUGGGCAGCUGGUGGAGGGUCUUGGAGAGCUGGGAACGCCUUUCUAGGGAGGCUGGAGACCCUCUGGUCUGUGAGUGGACAGCUGAGAGGGGGGCAGGGGAAAGGAGGGGAGAGGAAGAUGUGGGUGCUGCCUGCUGGGCACCCGGGAUGUGGGAGGACGGACAGCCUCCCAGGCAGAGUGAGUGGGAGCUGCCUUGGAGCCUCUCAGCAGCUGUCCCCGGGGAGGCCUGGCUGUGCGGCGGGCGCCCCCUCUGUGUGAGCAGCCCAGGCAGCUUGAAGAGAGGCCCAAAGGAAGUGCUGUCAGGAAACUCUGAAGAGGAGGGGUCCGGGCUUGCCAGUUCCCUACCAGGGGGUUUUCCAGAAGGAGCAGGGAACUCCCUGCAUGAGGGGAAAGACUUGGAAGUGAGUGGGUUCCUGGAACAGGCUCUCUGAGCUCUGAGUGAGCCCUGCCUGUAAGGGGGUCCUGAGGUGACUCCAGCUUCUGUCCCCACUCCUUCCCUUUCUCUGCUCCAGUGCCAGCUUCAGGUCGCAGGGCAGGUGGCCUUGAGAGAGGGACCUUUCACAGUUUCCCCCUCUUUGGCUCCACCAGGAGAAGGGAGUAUUUUGCUGAUGGCGACAUUUCCCAGGGCAGGCCAGAGGAAGGCAGGAACCAGGACUGGCAGGCAGCCAGAACCCUCUUGGACAGAGAUAUAAUUACUCAUCAUGACCUCUAGCCCAGGCAGCAAGCGAAAUGGCCCUGGAGGCUGGCACCAACCCUGUCUAGCAAAUAAACACGGCCGUGGUGGGGACGGGAGGGCAGCCAAGACAUGGAACAUCUCUGCUAAGAAGCCGAAAGAAAUUGGUUUUCUUCUCGUUGCUGAAAUCCCUCUGUGUCUCUUCUCACGGACAGGCUGGUCCAGUGGCUUUGGUGAGGGCACCUCCAUUUAUGAACACUGGGAUUCCUCCGGGUGGGCUUUGACAGGUGGCUCCUGCGGUAGGAAGGACAACGAGGUCCCUGGGAAGGAGCUGCCUACCCGCUGCUCCACGAGGAAGCUCAGGCCUGCACAGGCUCCACCAGGCCUUGGAUGCCCUCUGGUUGAGUCAGAGAGCGUGUGGACUUGCAGAAGGGGUGUGUUUAGUCUUCACUGCCCUUUCUCAGCUGGUGAAUAGAGACCCUGGGCAUCUCACAGCCUUAGGAAUGUACUGCCCCUCCAUUGCUUUAGACUGCCUUUGGAAAGGGGACCCUGGAAAUGCACUGAGAUCUCCAAUUACUGCCUCCAUUGAUGUCUCUAGACCUGCAGAUACGACGCAAACCUGGGAUCACUUCUUCCAGGUGUGGGCACCAGAGAGGGAAGCCACUGCAACAUGUUAUCCCCAUCAUUCCAACAUGCUUGCUUGUCUUUUUUACCCCACACCCACAACUCCUUCUGAGACUCUUAGUCAUAAAAGAAUGACCAAGGGACUUGGGCUCCAGCGAGAGAAAUGCCUAUGAAAGAGGGUUUCCCUUUUUGCUCCUUUGAAGGCCCUCCCCACUGAUCCUUGAAACCCAAUACCGCAUUGCCUCUUGUGGAUGAGUUUUUGCCUUGGACUGCUUGGGUACUUCAGACCAGGACUGAGUCUGACACAGCUUUCAUGAGGUUACAGAAAAGGGCUACAGAUUUGGGAAGUUGUGUGUAAUGGUCUUGAGACAGUAUCUCCAUUUGGCCCACCCUGGUUUCUCUAAAAACGACGACAGCAACAGACAAACAAAAAGCUCCCACCUCCCACCCCGUUAGCUGUCCUCCUCCUUACUGUGAUGUGGUUGCAGUCUCUGUCUGUAGGUGUGUGUGCUGCCUUGGCCCUCUGUCCUCUGGGGAUGUGCCCUUCCCACGUGUGUCAGGUUCCCACUCUUUCGUGACUCCUAAUGUGAAGUGCUGUGAUGUUUCUGCCCUAAGGGACAUAUCAAGCUCUCUGUGUUUCAGUGUUGGAGAUUGAGGCUGUGCCACAUCUCCUGCCAUCCUAAGGGGACAUGCUGGUUCUGUUACUUCCCAGAGAGCUGCCAGAUUGUGACAGUCUCCAGGAGAACCUACAGAUUGGAAGCAGACCCGGGACUCACUCUUCAUUCAGAAGACUGGUGGCCCACGUGCCAGGACCGCCCCACCUCUCUUGCUGCCUUUUCUCCUGUCCUGACAGGGUUCUGGGAGGGAGACCUGUCGCUGAUGGGAUGAAGAAUGACGUGGGGAUCGAGCAGCCUUUGUCUUUGGGACCCCUCGAUAUCCCAUGGAACCCUUGCACGUUCUCAAAGACUGAGUCACAAGCCCCUACCCCUUCCUUGCUGUGGUUAGUAUCUUGUUCUGUGAUUGGUAAGCAAUGUUGACUACCCACGUAGUGAAUCUUUUGUCUGCAAUUUAGAGAAUGUGUAAACAAAUAAAAGCCUUUAAAACUC